CAAUGUGUUACUUAUUUAAAGGGGCCGCUUGUGAAUCCCACGUUUAAAGGGACACCAUGGUCACCAGAAAAACUACAGCUUAAAGUAGCGGUUCUGGUGAUUAGAACAUGUCCCUGAAGGCUUUUCAGAGAAAAGGCAGUGUUUAAAUUACUGCCUAGGAUCAACUCUACAUAUCGUCUGACUGACUUCCACUAGAGGUGCUUCCUGGGUGUGCAGCACUGGCGUUUAGC